UGGGGAAUAUUGCACAAUGGGCGCAAGCCUGAUGCAGCCAUGCCGCGUGUAUGAAGAAGGCCUUCGGGUUGUAAAGUACUUUCAGUCGGGAGGAAGGUGGUAAGGUUAAUAACCUUUGCAAUUGACGUUACCGACAGUAGAAGCACCGGCUAACUCCGUGCCAGCAGCCGCGGUAAUACGGAUGGUGCAAGCGUUAAUCGGAAUUACUGGGCGUAAAGCGCACGCAGGCGGUAGAUUGGGUCAGAUGUGAAAUCCCCGGGCUUCACCCGGGAGUUGCAUCUGAUACUGGUCAGCUAGAGUCUUGUAGCGGGGGGUAGAAUUCCAUGUGUAGCGGUGAAGUGCGUAGAGAUAAAGAGGAAUACCGGUGACGAGGGCGGCCCCCUGGACAAAGACUGACGCUCAAGUGCGAAAACGUGGGGAGCAAACGGG
rnacentral:rRNA from 1 species